rnacentral:rRNA from 1 species
GAUUAAUGGUGAAGCCGCGAAUGGCUCAUUACACAGCCAUAGUUUCUUAGAUCUUACUUUUCUACUUGGAUAACUGUGGUAAUUCUAGAGCUAAUACACGCAAACAAGCUCAGACCUUACGGAAUGAGCGCAUUUAUUAGAACAAAAACCAAUCGGAUCUCGGUCCGUCAUUUGGUGAAUCUGAAUAACUUUGCUGAUCGCACGGUCAUCGUACCGGCGACAUAUCUUUCAAAUGUCUGCCUUAUCAACUUUCGAUGGUAGUUUAUGCGCCUACCAUGGUUGUAACGGGUAACGGAGAAUAAGGGUUCGACUCCGGAGAGGGAGCCUGAGAAACGGCUACCACAUCCAAGGAAGGCAGCAGGCACGCAAAUUACCCACUCCCGGCACGGGGAGGUAGUGACGAAAAAUAACGAGACGGCUCGCUAUGCGGUCCGUCAUCGGAAUGGGUACAAUUUAAAUCCUUUAACGAGGAUCUAUU